rnacentral:rRNA from 1 species
UACGAAGGGGGCUAGCGUUGCUCGGAAUCACUGGGCGUAAAGGGCGCGUAGGCGGCCAUUCAAGUCGGGGGUGAAAGCCUGUGGCUCAACCACAGAAUUGCCUUCGAUACUGUUUGGCUUGAGUAUGGCAGAGGUUGGUGGAACUGCGAGUGUAGAGGUGAAAUUCGUAGAUAUUCGCAAGAACACCAGUGGCGAAGGCGGCCAACUGGGCCAUUACUGACGCUGAGGCGCGAAAGCGUGGGGAGCAAACAGG